CCGCUUCCCACCAAGUCUGACUCCCUUUUCUGCAGUUCACACCUGCUCUCACCAAACCUUCAUUUUCUCUAAAUAUUCUGCCUAUCAGCAUCUAUUUUACAAGACCUUUAUUAUUGAUGAGUCUACAUAACAAUCAAGCUCCUCAUUUUCAGUUCCUGCUACUGAUUUUCAGUUCCCAGCCCAGAAAAUGAAUUAGAGGGUGGGAAUCCAGAACUGAGCCAGGAAUUAGAGAAGGCCACAUCAGCUGGCGAAAGAGACACAGGAGCAGCAAGGGAGGUAAAGCAUUGGAG